UACGUAGGGUGCGAGCGUUAAUCGGAAUUACUGGGCGUAAAGCGUGCGCAGGCGGUUGGCAAAGUCAGCUGUGAAAGCCCCGGGCUCAACCUGGGAAUUGCGGUUGAAACUAGUCGACUAGAAUCUGGCAGAGGGGGGUGGAAUUCCACGUGUAGCAGUGAAAUGCGUAGAUAUCGAGAGGAACACCUGCGGCGAAGGCGGGUGCCUGGGCGUGAGCACGUGACGCUGGAUG
rnacentral:rRNA from 1 species